GUGUUCGCUUUGGUAGCACGUAUAUUAAAAAAUUGCAAUAAUACAGAGAAGGUUAGCAUGGCCCCUGCCCAAGGAUGACACACAAAUUUGUGAAGCCUUCCAUAUAUUU
ensembl:snRNA U6 U6 spliceosomal RNA